rnacentral:tRNA from 1 species
GCCGGGAUAGCUCAGUGGAGAGAGCAGAGGACUGAAAAUCC